rnacentral:rRNA from 1 species
CGCCCAAUAGCUAGCCCCCUAAACCAAAAACAACACACACCCAUUAAUAACCCCAAACACACUAACUAAACACUAAACAAACCAUUUUUCCCCCUGAGUAUGGGCGACAGAAAAGGGACUGUGGAGCAACAGAGAAAGUACCGCAAGGGAACGCUGAAAGAGAAAUGAAACAAACCAGUAAAGCCUAGAAAAGCAGAGAUUUUAACUCGUACCUUUUGCAUCAUGAUUUAGCCAGAAAAAGUCAAGCAAAGAGCACUUUAGUUUGACUCCCCGAAACUAAGUGAGCUACUCCAAGACAGCCUAUCAAUAGGGCGAACCCGUCUCUGUGGCAAAAGAGUGGGAAGAACUUUGAGUAGAGGUGACAGACCUACCGAACUUAGUUAUAGCUGGUUGCCUGGGAAAUGGAUAGAAGUUCAGCCUCCCAGCUUCUUUUUUCACUUUUCGUUUCAACCCCUUUUUGAUAACUUAAGAAACUGAGAGAGUUAAUCAAAGGGGGUACAGCCCCUUUGAUACAAGACACAACUUUUCCAGGAGGAUAAAGAUCAUAAUUAAACUAAAGGCAAAAUGUUCUGGUGGGCCUAAAAGCAGCCAUCCCUACAGAAAGCGUUAAAGCUCAGACAUACUAUUACCCCUCCUUAUCCCGAUAAGCCAAUCUUAUUCCCCUAAUCCUACUAGGCCGCCCCAUGCAGACAUGGGGGUGUCCAUGCUAAUAUGAGUAAUAAGAGAGUAAACCAACUCUCUCCCUGCACACCUGUACAUCGGAACGGACCACCCACCGAAUAUUAACGGCCCCAAACAAAGAGGGUAAUGAACAACAAACCAAACAACCAGAAAAUCAUCCAACAAACAACCGUUAAACCCACACUGGAGUGCUCUCAGGGAAAGACUAAAAGAAAGAGAAGGAACUCGGCAAACACAUAAAGCCUCGCCUGUUUACCAAAAACAUCGCCUCUUGCAAAAUUAAUGAAUAAGAGGUCCCGCCUGCCCUGUGACUAUAAGUUUAACGGCCGCGGUAUUUUGACCGUGCGAAGGUAGCGCAAUCACUUGUCUUUUAAAUGAAGACCUGUAUGAAUGGCAUAACGAGGGCUUAGCUGUCUCCUCUUUCAAGUCAAUGAAAUUGAUCCCCCCGUGCAGAAGCGGGGAUAAUAACAUAAGACGAGAAGACCCUAUGGAGCUUUAGACACCAAGGUAGAUCAUGUUAAACACCCCCAAACAAGGGGCCAAACCAGAUGAACCCUGCCCUAAUGUCUUUGGUUGGGGCGACCGCGGGGAAAUACAAAACCCCCAUGUGGACUGGGAAUACCCCUCCUACAACUAAGAGCUCCCGCUCUAAUAAACAGAAUUUCUGACCAACAAGAUCCGGCAAAGCCGAUCAACGGACCGAGUUACCCUAGGGAUAACAGCGCAAUCCCCUUUUAGAGCCCAUAUCGACAAGGGGGUUUACGACCUCGAUGUUGGAUCAGGACAUCCUAAUGGUGCAGCCGCUAUUAAGGGUUCGUUUGUUCAACGAUUAAAGUCCUACGUGAUCUGAGUUCAGACCGGAGUAAUCCAGGUCAGUUUCUAUCUAUGAUAUGAUCUUUUCUAGUACGAAAGGACCGAAAAGAAGAGGCCCAUACCCUAAGUACGCCUCACCCCCACCUACUGAAAUCAACUAAAAUAGGCAACAGGGCAUAUCCCCCUGCCUGAGAAAAUGGCAU